rnacentral:sRNA from 1 species
UAAUAGAAUAGAAUAACUCAAGGGUGGUCAGCAUUCCCGUUUCUUGUUCCUCUUUUAUAGAGAAUCUAAGAAUUAAAGGGGGUGCUGCGUGUGAGCGUAUUUCAAGCGUUAGUAAUUAUGAUAAGCUUUUCAAGCUUGAUUGUUGCUGUUAUCGCGUUAUCACAAAAAAAGUAAACCGCCCUUGAGCCUGCAAGCAAUUGGCGGUUUACCGUUCUGAGUUGCUGAUCGCCUUUGAGGCGACGCUAUUUUAUUACGGCCGUUUGGUGUUACUAGCACCAGAC